UGGUAAUGCCGGAUGCUCCAGUUGACCGCAUGGUCCUCUGGGAAAGCUUUUGCGGUAUGGGAUGGGGUCGCGUCCUAUCAGCUUGAUGGCGGGGUAACGGCCCACCAUGGCUUCGACGGGUAGCCGGCCUGAGAGGGCGACCGGCCACAUUGGGACUGAGAUACGGCCCAGACUCCUACGGGAGGCAGCAGUGGGGAAUAUUGCACAAUGGGCGCAAGCCUGAUGCAGCGACGCCGCGUGCGGGAUGACGGCCUUCGGGUUGUAAACCGCUUUUGACUGGGAGCAAGCCCUUCGGGGUGAGUGUACCUUUCGAAUAAGCACCGGCUAACUACGUGCCAGCAGCCGCGGUAAUACGUAGGGUGCAAGCGUUAUCCGGAAUUAUUGGGCGUAAAGGGCUCGUAGGCGGUUCGUCGCGUCCGGUGUGAAAGUCCAUCGCUUAACGGUGGAUCCGCGCCGGGUACGGGCGGGCUUGAGUGCGGUAGGGGAGACUGGAAUUCCCGGUGUAACGGUGGAAUGUGUAGAUAUCGGAA
rnacentral:rRNA from 1 species